rnacentral:rRNA from 1 species
UACGUAGGGGGCGAGCGUUGUCCGGAUUUAUUGGGCGUAAAGAGCUCGUAGGCGGUGUGUCGCGUCGGCCGUGAAAACCUGCAGCUUAACUGUGGGCGUGCGGUCGAUACGGGCAUCACUGGAGUUCGGCAGGGGAGACUGGAAUUCCUGGUGUAGCGGUGAAAUGCGCAGAUAUCAGGAGGAACACCGGUGGCGAAGGCGGGGUCUCUGGGCCGAUACUGACGGCUGGAGGAAGCGAAAGCGUGGGGAGCGAACAGG